GUGCUCACUUUGGCAGCAGAUGUACUAAAAUUGGAAUGGUACAGAGAAGAUUAGCAUGGCCCCUGUGCAAGGAUAAUCCACAGUGUCAAAAAAGUAAAAGCAAAAGAA
rnacentral:snRNA from 1 species